rnacentral:rRNA from 1 species
GGGUCAGUAGGUUGGUCGUGCCACCGGUACGUACUGGUCUCACUGAUUCCUCCUUCCUGAAGAACCGUAAUGCCAUUAAUUUGGUGUUGCGGGGAAGCAGGACUGUUACUUUGAAAAAAUUAGAGUGUUUAAAGCAAGCUAACGCUUGAAUACAUUAGCAUGGAAUAAUGAAAUAGGACGAUCGAUCCUAUUUUGUUGGUUUCUAGGAUUGACGUA